GGGUUGAUAGCAUAGCAGUUAUGCUCUAAGGUUGCAAAUCUGAAGGUCGCUGGUUCAAUUCCUUCCAAAGCCA